GUGCCUAUAGUGUAGUGGUUAUCACAUCUGUUUUACACACAGAAGGUCCCAGGUUCGAAACCUGGUAGGCACA
rnacentral:tRNA from 1 species